AGAAAAAGAAGGGAAAGGUGAAAAAAGUUUAUAUUUAUUAUCGGUUCCCGCAUUGUGCUUCUGAAGCCUCGUUCCUAAACCACUAGUAAAGGAGCCGCCACACGCUUUACUACGCCUCGUGCGAAAGAGCUCAGGCAGCCCCAAAUUCCUCUCUCAAAACCAGAAGCAGUCAUUAAACACGAAAGGGAAAUCGAAUUUCAUCAGUAAAACUCCCUUUCCCUUCGAUCAAAAAAAUUUUAAAACAGAAAAUCAUACAUUAAAAAAACCCUAACCCUAACCCUAACGCUAACCAUAAAUUUUGUCCAAUUAGCUUCCAAUGGCUAGCGACACCCCGGAUUCUCAUCGAAGGAAGCACCGUCGUUCUCCAUCCGACGACGAGGAAGCCGAGAAGUCGUCCAAACGCCACAAGCAUCGCCACUAUAAACACCGCCACCACCGCCACCCCAGCAAGAAGCACGAAGACGAAGCUAAAGAUGGUGGCGAUGAUUCCCUUCCUCCUCCCUCGGUUCCUCGACCUGAUGAUGACGUCGAGGAAGGAGAGAUUCUUGAUGAGGAGCCGACCGCCGAAAUCAAGGCUGUUGAAUCUCUCGACGGCCUUGGUGUUCCGAAUCCGGGAGUUGGGGAAAAUAGUAAUUCUGUGGAUGAGCAAGGAAGAAAGAUUUGUGACAACAGUGAUGAGAGGAACAAAAGUCAUGGUGGGUUCUCUAGAAAUUUAAGUGUUGAGUCUCAGGGAGAAUUGGUCUCUAGAGUUGUCCUUGACUGUCAUAUCAAUGGGGAUUUUCCAUCAAAACAUCAUGUAGAGGAUGCUGGACAGUAUCAGCAGUCUAGGUCGCCUUCAAGAAGUGGCAAGAAAAAAAUUUACCCUGAGGAUGUUGAAGAGGCUGAUAAGAGGAAGUUAAGUGGCAUGAGAAAGUUGUUGUCCUCUGAAAGUUCUGGGGAAAAGUACAAGGUAUCAGCUAGCUCACCCUUUGAUUUGAGAUAUUAUGAUUAUACUAGGAGUAGAUCUGAGUCACGUGGUCUUGCUAGGGAAAGAUCACGUUCUAAAAGCAUUGUAGAUGAGGAAGCCCUUUUUAAAAGAAGUCACUGUCAUGAACGUGAUCCUAAUAGGGAUGAACGGCAUGGUAGUAGAAACUUAGUUAGGGGUGAUGACAGAAGCGUCAGUUAUGGCAAAUAUGUUGCCGAAGAAAGGCAUCAGAGUAUGGAGACCCGGGGUAGCGAGAGGAGCAGGGAAAGUGAUAUAGAUUGGGAAAGGAGAAGGGAGAAAGAGCAUGAAAGAAGCAGAGAGAGGGAGAUGGAUGAAUGGAGAAGGAAUGGGGAGAUUUAUGGUGAGAGGAGAAGGGAGAAGGAGCAAGAGAGGAGUAGGGAAAGAAACAUGGGUGGUGAAAGGAGAAGGGAGAAAGAGCGAGAGAGGACUAGGGAGAGAGAACUGGAAAGUAAAAGGAGAAUAGAGAAGGAGCGAGGGAAGAACAGGGACUGUGAUCUAGAUGGUGAAAGGAGAAGGGAGAAGGUGCGUGAUAGGAGCUGGGAUGGGGAAGCAGAUAGAGAUAGGAAGAGGCAGAAGGAAAGAGAUGGGAGCAAGGAUCGUACCAGAGCUAAUGACAGAGAUAGAGAGAGGAAAAAGGGAAAAACUGAAGAAUUGAACCAAGAGCGAGAGAGGGAGAGGAGAAGUGACAGGAGUAGGGAUAAAGGUAGGAAUAUUGAGAUUGAAAAUGAUGGUUAUGGUGAUCUAGAUAGGUAUAAGAAUUAUAAGCACUUGAAACGGGAUGAAACAGAAACUUAUCGGGACAGAAAAAGGAAAAAUGAAACAGCAAAGGUUCAUGGUUCUAACAGUGAUUCAUUUGAAGGAGAUGGAGAUAAUCUAAAAAGGGAUGAAGAGGAGCAAGAUGAUUUUGAAGAAAGGAUUGCAUUAAAACUUCCUGAUCACGAAGAGGAAGAACUCAAUAGGAUUAAAGAGGAAAGUAGGAAACGAAGGCAAGCUAUCUUAGAGAAAUAUAAGAGUCAGCGGUUACAGCAGCAAACUCAGUCUCAUGCAGUGGAUGUGAAUAAAGAUAUUGGCUCUGUAGAGAAUCAUGGGCAAACAGUAGCUGCUGCUAAUGCUGGUUCAGAUGUUCUUGAUGGUGGACAUGAAGAUGUCUAUGUUGCUGAGCCAUUAUUGUCAGUUAGGAAGUUACCUUCAGAAAAUGGGCAUGCUGCUAAUGAGAGGACACCUGGUGCUGCUGGGCUUGGUGAGGGUACCCCGAAGAGUGAGAGAUCAGAUGAUAUUUUCUGUGACGAUAUAUUUGGAGAAACGCCUACUGGAGUUCGUAAAUUGGGUAAAGGUGAUGGCUUGCCAGUUAUAAGGAGUGGUCUUAAUGACAAUUGGGAUGAUGCAGAAGGAUAUUAUAGCUAUCGAUUUGGUGAGCUACUUGACAGCCGAUAUGAAAUAACUGCUGCUCAUGGAAAAGGUGUUUUCUCAACUGUUGUACGUGCAAAGGAUCUUAAGGCUGGUACUACUGAUCCUGAAGAAGUGGCUAUAAAGAUCAUUCGUAAUAAUGAAACAAUGCACAAGGCUGGUCAGCUGGAGGUUCAAAUAUUGAAAAAAUUAGCAGGUGCUGAUCCAGAUGAUAAACGCCAUUGUGUUCGUUUUCUGUCAAGUUUCAAGUACAGAAAUCAUCUAUGUUUAGUUUUUGAGUCACUUCAUAUGAAUCUGCGUGAAGUUCUCAAGAAAUUUGGUCGCAAUAUUGGUCUUAAACUUACUGCUGUCAGAGCAUAUGCUAAGCAACUUUUUAUUGCGCUUAAGCAUCUCAAAAACUGUGGUGUUCUUCAUUGUGAUAUAAAGCCUGAUAAUAUGCUGGUAAAUGAGGCAAAAAAUGUGCUGAAGCUUUGUGAUUUUGGUAAUGCCAUGUUUGCUGGUAAAAAUGAAAUUACACCAUACCUUGUAAGCCGCUUUUAUCGUGCCCCAGAAAUAAUUCUUGGUUUGCCUUAUGAUCAUCCAAUGGAUAUUUGGUCUGUUGGUUGCUGUUUAUAUGAGCUAUAUACUGGAAAAGUUCUUUUCCCUGGUCCUACAAACAAUGACAUGCUACGCCUUCAUAUGGAACUAAAAGGCCCUUUUCCAAAGAAGAUGCUUCGGAAGGGAGCAUUUGCAGAACAACACUUUGAUCAAGAUCUGAAUUUUCAUGCUACAGAAGAGGAUCCUGUUACUAAAAAGAGUAUAAAGAGGAUGAUUCUUAACAUAAAGCCAAAAGAUAUCAGUUCAAUUAUUGUUGGCUCUCCUGGUGAGGAUCCCAAGAUGGUAGUCAACUUCAAAGACCUUCUAGAAAAAAUUUUUGUGUUGGAUCCAGAGAAGAGAAUGACAGUAACACAGGCAUUGGCUCAUCCAUUCAUCACGGCUUUGGAAACAGUGUUUGGCGUGGUUGAAGUCAAAAGGGUGAUGUUUGGUCAAGAGUACUCUUUACUGGCGAUUCUUUCAGUGGAAUGUACUUUUUCUAUUGAUAUCUGCUACUGCUUUGAGGCAACCCUCCAGUGCUUAAAUGCUUAAAAGGCACCCAGGAGAAGGUACCUUGGACCUUGGUUUGUUUAUUGACCUGUUUUUGACACCCUAAAACCUGAUCAUCUUAAUUUUUUUUUUGUUGUGAAUUGCUAGAGAUUGCCAAUAUUAUUUUAUAUUUUGCUUUCAGCCAACUUUUUCUUUUAGAUCUUAUGUAUGAUUUAGUGGUGCUUUGGUAAUACUUUUGUGUUGUAGCUGGUUAUGCUCAUUUAAGUAGCCUAUGUUUGAGUGCUUUUUAAGUUUUUUUUUUUUAAAUUCUUUUGACCUUUUCUAGCAAUAUGCAUGUCCUAAUGAAAUUGCAUUAUAUCUGAUCCAUGGUUCAAUUACUCUGGAGGCACUUGCACUGGUCGUGUAGGAGUCAGCUUGAAGUGAAAGUCCAUCUCAGGUAUAAAAUCUGUGCUUCCUAACUCGUCUUAUUCAAGCUAGAGGAUCAUUUAAAUUCUUAUAAUGCAAAAAGGAGGUACACAGUUAGCGCUUCUUGAAAAGCUAUGAAUCAUCGAUGAAUUAGGGUUAUUAUAAAUACUUGAAGAAUAAUUUUAUAUUAUUUAUCUUGAUAGUUUUCAUUAUAUUUUAUUUCAGCAAUUAAUGAAAAGAUAAUUAAUGUGUUUAAGUUAUUUCAUUAACUGAUUAUGACUCUGUCUACAUUUCUCGUAAUACUGUGGCUCUGGAAAUUGUUAAG